rnacentral:tRNA from 1 species
GGGGAUGUAGCUCAGUGGUAGAGCACUUGCCUAGCAAUGUAUGAGGCCCUGGGUUCUAUCCCCAGCAACACAC